rnacentral:lncRNA from 1 species
AUUAAGGCUCCGAUGCCAGGAUAAUUAAUUUUCGUUGCACUAGUUAUCUCAAUGAUAAAAAUCCAAUAAGACAAGUUAUAAAGUAAAAAACUCUACAGGAAAUUUAAGAAAAAAAUUCCAGUGCAAAUAGUUCGUUCCCUAAAAUUUGUUUACGAUAAAUAUGGGCCUGAUAAAUUAUAUUUAACAAACAUACACAAAAGACAAAAU